rnacentral:rRNA from 1 species
UGGGGAAUUUUGGACAAUGGGCGAAAGCCUGAUCCAGCAAUGCCGCGUGUGUGAAGAAGGCCUUCGGGUUGUAAAGCACUUUUGUCCGGAAAGAAAUCCUUGGCUCUAAUACAGUCGGGGGAUGACGGUACCGGAAGAAUAAGCACCGGCUAACUACGUGCCAGCAGCCGCGGUAAUACGUAGGGUGCAAGCGUUAAUCGGAAUUACUGGGCGUAAAGCGUGCGCAGGCGGUUUGCUAAGACCGAUGUGAAAUCCCCGGGCUCAACCUGGGAACUGCAUUGGUGACUGGCAGGCUAGAGUAUGGCAGAGGGGGGUAGAAUUCCACGUGUAGCAGUGAAAUGCGUAGAGAUGUGGAGGAAUACCGAUGGCGAAGGCAGCCCCCUGGGCCAAUACUGACGCUCAUGCACGAAAGCGUGGGGAGCAAACAGGAUUAGAUACCCUGGUAGUCCACGCCCUAAACGAUGUCAACUAGUUGUUGGGGACUUCAUUUCCUUAGUAACGUAGCUAACGCGUGAAGUUGACCGCCUGGGGAGUACGGUCGCAAGAUUAAAACUUAAA